rnacentral:rRNA from 1 species
UUCGCCCCUUCGAUUCCACUGGGAAGAUGCCCGAACUUGAUCAUUUAGAGGAAGUAAAAGUCGUAACAAGGUUUCCGUAGGUGAACCUGCGGAAGGAUCAUUAACGGCACUGCCGAGAUAGAACUGAGACACUCUACCGAGAAGGUGGUAGAUACUGAGGGGCGAGACCACCCACCCGUUCGCGGGCGGAGUGGGCACGCCUCGCACGCCACCGGCACUUGUGCCGGCAAGCGGUUGUUCAGUGACGGUUGGUCGCCAUGAGAACACUCCGCGCGGCGUGACGGGCGUCAGAGCCCCCGAGAAAUCGAACGAACUGACGGAAGGACGAAGCCGAUCUCGCAGGCGGAAGGCCGUGGUACCCAUGAUGGUUUAAAGGCCCCUAGCAGGGUCGCCAACGGCCUCCGACCUUGGUGAGCGGCGCCUUGAACGGUGAUGCGGGGCGCGGUCUGGCGUGACCUCCCUUGUGGUCGCACGCCGCGCGCCUCGCGAAACAAAGAACGGACCUGUCCGAAGGUGUCAUGUGAAUGGCUUGUAACGCACAACCCUGAACGGUGGAUCACUCGGCUCGUGGGUCGAUGAAGAACGCAGCAAAUUGCGCGUCGACAUGUGAACUGCAGGACACAUGAACAUCGACGUUUCGAACGCACAUUGCGGUCCUUGGAUUUCCAAUCCCGGACCACGCCUGGCUGAGGGUCGGCCUUCUGAAACCACUGGGCCCGCCGCGUACGGCUGCGGGCCCGAAGAUGAGGGCACUCCCGCUCACCUUCCCCGGUGGGAUCGGGCGACGCUCUUGAAGACUGCAAUAGCGCUGUUGUGUGGGCUACCGCGCCCU